AAUAUUGCUUCUUUCUUCCUGAUAUUUUUCUUAAAGAUUGAUAAAGAGAGUAAUUAAGAUGAUGGUGUGUGUGUUUUUUUUUGUUUUUUUUACAAUGUAAAGCGAUUGGACAACAAAAUCAUUGGUUACUAUAUAUUAUCUAACCUUGUGAAGCAAGUUGUUUAUGUUAUAAAUUUUGCCAACUCUAAUUUGACACUUAUAGUAUAUAUA
rnacentral:lncRNA from 1 species